GCUCGAGGAGGAAUUGCCACAGCUGGAUCUGCCCGCUUCCUGCAGGCAGUGAGGCAGACGGGAGAAAACAGAGGAUCUCAGCCUGGGAAAGCCAGAAGCUCAAGUCCCUAAAUGCAAGGAUCCUCUCGCCCUUCAUAAGAAACUCUUAAUUUCCUUUUACAUGCAGAAUCUACUGAUUCCGGCAGCCCCUGUUUUCAUUGUUGACUUGCUUUUCUGUUUGUCAGUGAGGCUGCCUUCAUAAGCAAGAUUAGACCUUAAGAUAGUGUGCCCCAAGGCACACUGGGAAAACUCCCUGUGGGUAAUGAGGUGCUGGCUUCCUUAGAACUAGCUGUAUGAUUUGGGGCAAGCCACAAAAAAAUCUGGGGCAAGAUUUUUGAAUCUCUUCUUCUCAUCUCUGUCUACUGGAUGAAGUCCCCCCAAGUAUUCCUGUCAGUGUGAAAGGGAGUCGGGGCCAGGAGACCGCUGCCAGAGUCACAGGCAGAAGGUGAGGCCCAGGCAUCAGGCUGAAGGGACCUGGAAUGUUCCUCAGCAGAGCCCUAGUGCUUGGCUCCCAGGUCCAAGUCUUACAGAGAAGAGCUGGGGCAGAGAGAAAACUAAGGCGAGAGGGAGCUGGGUGGCUCCUGCCUCCUAUCCCAAAACAGGAAGGGCCAGGCACUAAAGAAUGGGCCUGCAGAAACUGGUGACAGGAGUCCCCCGGGAUGGGAAGGUGUGGGCUUUAUUACUGUAAAGUUGCCAGUUAGCUCACAUACUUGGUGAUCUUGGUUUGGAACUCAUUUGAGAGCUAUUCUUAAUAACGAACUCUUAAAAUACAUUGUCAGAGUCAUUUUAUCUACAGCUUUUCGGGGACACACCUCUUUCAUAAGGCUGGAUAACUGCAACACUUUCUGAAGUCAAGAAUAAUACGCCUUUGGAACAUCUAUUUACUUGUGACUUCCGGGAGGACCAUAACUGAGAACUCACUGGAAUUGCUCGUCUUUCUUCCCCACCCUGCCUUCUUUCCUUACAAAAAUUUCUACCUGUGCCAUUUAUUACUAAUCUCAACCUCCAUGCAUAUAUGCAUGCUAAUAUAUUUGUUUUUCCGAACUAGCCUCAGCUAACGGACAUAACUAAUAACAACCUAAUAACAACACCCAACCUCUCACUUGUACCCUCGAGAAGCAGAUGUUGACCAUUUCAAAGGAAGGAGUGCAAGUAACUUCCUACUCAGGUGUCUGAACAUAGGACAGAGGUCUCUGUGUGACCUCACAAAGCUAUGGAACUUUCUGGAAAGAAAAACCUUCCAGGCCAAAGUAAACUCACCGGGGUUGGCUAGGCGACUGCUGGUCGGGCCCAGGAUCUGAUAUGGAUCUGAGGAAGCAAAAAAGGAAAUUAGCUUCACUGUUAUUAAAAAUAUAAAAACAACAGCAUUAAUAAUAAGAAUACCCCCGGGGUUUAUACUUUUAUUUCAGUAUCAUAGAAAAAACUGAUUUCAGAAAACUUUACUACUUUUAUAUGCAGGCCUCAAAGGUCUGGGGCAUAGUUAUAGUUUUCAUCCCCAUAAUUACAGAAACAUAGGAUACCAGCAGUAUCUUUUUUUUUUUUUUAUUUUCAUAUUUGGUGUCUAACAUUUGUCAUUACUGGCAACAGAAUCAUGAAACCAUAUGGAAAGAAGCUGGCUAAUACUCAGUCCUAAUGAAUAAGGGCCUGCUACUUGUAAUUCACAGAGCGAUUACAGGGAGUCAAAUACAGACCCUCUCGGAAAGAGAAAACCGAAGACACACACUGUCUAUUGUCUCAGCCCUCCUCAGUUGACCACACAGAACCAAUGGUUGGAUAAGGAGCAAAGGAGAGAUUACCGAUCACGGACAGCAGGGAAACAGCUCACUGCAAUUAGAAGAACUCUGGGUUGGGGUUCAGAACUCCGUCAUUUGCUUCCUAUCUCUGCUGGUGACCAGCUGCAAGGGACUUAAUCUCUCUGAAUCUCAGUUAAACCUAUCUGUAAAAGGUAGGUACUGGGGGGGGGGGGUGAUUCUUCUAAAUUUAAGAGUUUGGAAACCAAAGGGCCCUUUUAAACCCCACUGGGUUCUACUGAGGAGAAAUGAGAUCAUGUAUGUGAAAAUGCUUUACAUACUCCAAAGUGUCCUAUAGAAUUAUAGCCACUAUCCUGUUCUGCUAUCCUGUUCCAGAGUUUAAUUCAUUGGAGUUAGGAAGUUAAUCUUUCUGUGUCAACCAAAGCUAAUUUCUUUUGGUUCUGUCUUUAGUGAAGCAUAAGGAUUGAGUAAAUAUUGAAUUAGAUUGUCAAAGACUAGAUUUUUUGUCUCCAGUGAAUCCAUCAACUGGGUCCAUCCAUCUGUCAAUGAUAUUUACCAAACAUCCUGGAAAAGAGGACGUAGGACCAAACUCACAAUUCGACACUACGAGGUUAAGAGUGCACCGAUUUGGAGUUCCCCACGCCAAUCUUAACAGCAUGGAACCGUGCCGUUCCUGGGACUGAAGAAAAUGCAUGAGAGAACAGACUCACCUUCUUUGACACUCAGUCGUGAGGAUUGGUCUGUGUGGGAGGUCGUGUUAUAGGCCAACAGUGAACCUGUAAGGCAAAGCAAAAGCGCGUUAUAAC